CGGCGUGCCUAACACAUGCAAGUCGUACGAGAAAGCCGGCUUCGGCUGGUGAGUAAAGUGGCGCACGGGUGAGUAACGCGUGGAUAAUCUGCCCUUAAGUGUGGAAUAACGUACCGAAAGGUGCGCUAAUACCGCAUAAUGCCUGGCAACACAAGUUGUCCGGCCAAAGAAGGCCUCUGUUUACAAGCUUUCGCUUCAGGAUGAGUCCGCGUACCAUUAGCUUGUUGGUGGGGUAAUGGCCUACCAAGGCUGCGAUGGUUAGCUGGUCUGAGAGGAUGAUCAGCCACACUGGAACUGAGACACGGUCCAGACUCCUACGGGAGGCAGCAGUGAGGAAUAUUGCGCAAUGGGGGCAACCCUGACGCAGCAACGCCGCGUGAGUGAGGAAGGUUUUCGGACUGUAAAGCUCUGUCGAGCGGGAAGAAGUGUACCAUGGCUAAUAUCCAUGAUAUUUGACGGUACCGCUAGAGGAAGCACCGGCUAACUACGUG
rnacentral:rRNA from 1 species